AGAGAAAUGUGCUUGCCACAGGUCACCUGAGCCCUUUAAUCCUCUAUAAUCUGCUCCAGAAUAUGGGGCCUGAGGAAAACUUCAUCCCAUCCACACAUUCCCAGAUGAUAAAGGACCUGUCUCAGAAAUGUCCCUUUCAAUUAUUUUCAGGUAAUAUCUAAUACCUGCAGCAGAAGCUGAGAUGGUCCAUGACCUCUGAGACCUCUGAGAGAGAAAUGAUGGUGGUGAUGCUCCAUUUCCAUGAGGCAGAUACUCAGCCUGGCUGGAAACUUUCUGGAAAUGAGAGGCAGAAGGUCUAGGACAAGAAGCAAACAUUCCAAGGAAAACAUUAAAAUACUGACAGCUGACAGAAGUGUGAUGUAACAGCAUUUAACUGAGAAGAUCUAACAGGACCAUAUGCCAAGGCAGUCAACAACUCUGAGGGGAAGCCAAAGUCCAAGGGACUUUUCUCCAGGGGUUAUCAAACCUAAAUAAGAAGGAGCUAUUUUGAUUCUGAGCAACACCAGUGAGGCCUUAUUUGGAAUAUUCUCUGAUGUGAGAGGAAGACAGCCAAGAAGUGAACACAGCUGAGCUUUGGAGCUGUGUGCUCUGAGGAAAGCCCAGCUCACUUGGCCUCUUCCCUGAGUGCCUGAGGACACUGGAAAAACCCUUGAAGAGGAAGCAAAUCAGGCAAGAUGUGUACUUGGAAUAAGAGAGUGAAAAUUCAAAGCCAGGAUGGCAAGAUAAGAGAAACAGCAACAAAAUGAAAUGGCAGAUCUUCUGUUUCUUCGGCAGAACGGUCAGAAAGAUCUAAUCCAAACAGAUUUGGGCUCCAUUUGAGAAAUGAGCUCCCUAAUUUGAUGCAGGUGAUCAGCCCCAUUCAUCUGAACAGCCUCUGCUUCUGACACGGGUAGCCUGGACUCUCAUCAGGCUGGAUGGGGCUUGGAGCAACCUGGUCCAGUGGAAGGUGUCCCUGCCCAUGGCAGGGGGCUGGAACAAAUGAUCUUUAAAGUCCCUUCCAACCCAAACCAAUGUGCGAUUCUGUGAUCAGCUGCAUAAUCAAUAUUCAAUGUAACCAAUGCAAUGUAAUUUUCUGUACCAGUGAAAUGUGGCUUGUGGGCAAUGGGCCAAAUGUGGACUUUAUCCCUGAGCCUUGGGUGUUUGCCCAGGCCCCUUGACUGUAAAAGUUGACUUGGCAGAGGCAGAAACCAUGGGGAGUCUCGGGGAAACUGGGCUGUGUGAAAGCCACAUCCAGGAAGAAAAGGACAUGAAUCCUUCCUGGCCAAGGAUUUCAAAGAUUCCACAUCCAGUGAAGGAAUGUGACCUUCCUGAGACUGAGCAGCUCCCCCAGUUCCCAAUUAUUCCAGCAGCAGCUCAACAUUUUGCAUAGUUUAGUAAAAUUGGUUUUAUUGAUUAAGCUGAAUUGCACAGGACAAAGCAAAGUCAGUGGCUCUGCUGCUGUGGUGUUGGGCAGUCAUGGGAUGGACUGAGAAUGAUUGCACACGGACCUGCUGGCUCAGGGCAGCAAAGGUUUACUCCUCAGUGUAAUAUCCUCCCAAAUUCUCUGAUCCUCACUCCUCACUCUGACCUCUAGGGAAGAUCCAUAUGUAAUAAUGUAAUAUUUAAGCAAUUUCAGCUGUACACAACCCCAGAGAUGCUCUAAAUUGUCCUUUGGUGUUAGACCCCUUUAAAUUUACAGCUGUGCCUGGACAUGGGCAGCUCCAGAGCUGCUCUCUCAUACAAGUGGAAGCUUUUGAAGCUUAAACUUUUUUCAAAGGGCUUAGGCAAGAGAAACUCAGAUGCAGCUGAGACAUGUGGUUGGAAAACUGAAGCAACAUGUUCCUGAAACAUGGAAUCUGUAAUUUCUCAGGGUAGCAAGGAUUAUUUGGGAGACAGCAAACAUACUUUUCAUAUGAAAGCAGCAAUGUGUGCUACAAAAAGCCUGUUUAUGAUGCAGCUUACCUACCAGACAGCCACUUCAAGCUGUCAAUGGAGAGAGGACUGACAACAAGCUAAUGACCUCCUGCUGCUCAAUAAAUAUCUCAGCUUUGCUCCAGCAUCUCUUUGUGCAGUGGGAGGGAGACAGGGAUGCCAGGCAAUAUUCUCUUGCAAUUAUUUUAUUCUGUUUCUGCCCAUUUUUUUAACACAACAUACAAGAAAAGCAGGCACAGCAGCUUUUGUGAGGCCUGAUACAAGUAAACAAUAGUUGCUCAAUCUAUAAUUACUAAAUUAUUUUCAUUUAAAGUCAGGAAUAAAAGCAAUCAAAGAACUGUCCUUCCAGAAAAGUAAUCUGUUUUGAAAAUGAUUUAUUUUUCUGUUCCCCUCAUUGUAUCUAUAAAUAAGGCACAGCAUUGUGAGAUACCCUGCUAGACAGCUUUCUGCAAGAUUAAAUUAGAAAUAAGAUGGAAAGCUACAUUUUAUGCAGUUGUUGAAACUGCCUAUUAGUGAUGAAGAACACUAAGAGAAGGUACAGAUUUUUACAGAACACACAUUUAAAAUAUAUUAAAUCAUAUUAAUGUGAUAAGAAUUUAUGGAUCAGGCUAGACCUGAAUUAAAAUAAAAAUCUCAUCCAACAUUUCAUGAUGUUCCAGAAAAAAAUGUCUUUUCCCCAUUUUAAUUCCAGACUUGUGUAUUCCUUAUCUUCCUCAGUUACCAUCCAAGGCCUCCACUAAUGGCUCUAAAGUAUCCCUGAUAUUCUUUCACCAUCCUGCUGAGCCAGUAGUGUGGUAAUUGGCACUGCUCUGUUGGAAUCUCACUCUUACCUGGUUUGUGUUCUGGUUUCAAUUUGAGCCAUCUGUGUUUAAUCCUAGAUUUGCUCAUAAAAAGGAUAAGUCUCGAUAAAUAGGUAAGAGAAAGGCUUCUGAGACACAGAAUGAAAAUAUCCAGAAUCCUUAAGCAGUCUGUUGGUGGAUUACGUCAACUCAAAGAUAGAUUUUGCUCCCUCUGGCUCAUCAAAUAAUCUGAUUAGCUGGUGCUGAUUAUGUUGGGCAUGAUGCACUGUGUUCUGCAAACCAGACACAGAAUGUCCCUUCUCUGCUGCCUCGUGUGCUCCUGGACAGCCUUAUUUAUAAUAAAUCCCAUUUUCACUUUUG
ensembl:lncRNA